rnacentral:rRNA from 1 species
UGGGGAAUAUUGCGCAAUGGGCGAAAGCCUGACGCAGCCACGCCGCGUGAGCGAUGAAGGCCUUCGGGUCGUAAAGCUCUGUGGGGAGAGACGAAGAAAGCCCGUGAAGAGCGGGCCUUGACGGUAUCUCCUUAGCAAGCACCGGCUAACUCCGUGCCAGCAGCCGCGGUAAUACGGAGGGUGCAAACGUUGCUCGGAAUCAUUGGGCGUAAAGCGCACGUAGGCGGCGAAGCAAGUUGGGUGUGAAAGCCCUGGGCUCAACCCAGGAAGUGCAUUCAAAACUGCUUCGCUUGAAUCUCGGAGGGGGUCAGAGAAUUCCCGGUGUAGAGGUGAAAUUCGUAGAUAUCGGGAGGAAUACCAGUGGCGAAGGCGCUGACCUGGACGAAGAUUGACGCUGAGGUGCGAAAGCGCGGGGAGCAAACAGGAUUAGAUACCCUGGUAGUCCGCGCUGUAAACGAUGAGUGCUAGACGGUGGAGGUAUUGACCCCUUCGCUGCCGAAGCUAACGCGUUAAGCACUCCGCCUGGGGAGUACGGUCGCAAGACUA